AUUGAACGCUGGCGGCAGGCUUAACACAUGCAAGUCGAGCGGAGCGAGGGUGCUUGCACCUUAGCUUAGCGGCGGACGGGUGAGUAAAGCUUAGGAAUCUGCCUAUUAGUGGGGGACAACAUUCCGAAAGGGAUGCUAAUACCGCAUACGCCCUACGGGGGAAAGCAGGGGAUCUUCGGACCUUGCGCUAAUAGAUGAGCCUAAGUCGGAUUAGCUAGUUGGUGGGGUAAAGGCCUACCAAGGCGACGAUCUGUAGCGGGUCUGAGAGGAUGAUCCGCCACACUGGGACUGAGACACGGCCCAGACUCCUACGGGAGGCAGCAGUGGGGAAUAUUGGACAAUGGGGGGAACCCUGAUCCAGCCAUGCCGCGUGUGUGAAGAAGGCCUUUUGGUUGUAAAGCACUUUAAGCGAGGAGGAGGCGCUCUAGGCUAAUACCCUAGAUGCGUGGACGUUACUCGCAGAAUAAGCACCGGCUAACUCUGUGCCAGCAGCCGCGGUAAAAC
rnacentral:rRNA from 1 species